UUUUAGUAAUUUUUAUGGGGGAAUCUGGCAAAAAAUUAUUUCGGCAAAACCGCACCUAAAAUAAAAUAUAAAAUUACAAGCUAAAGGCGCACCUAAAACCGUACACGAAACUAAAAUAGCAAAAAAGUAAAAACGAAAUCGAAUAAAAUGGUUCAUUUAUAAAAAAGCACAGAACAAAACGUUGUAUUGACAAAAUCGAAAAUCCCUAUAAAGUUGUACGAUUAAAAGUACACGGGCUAAAAACGUACAAACUAAAAUGAUAAACAGAGACAUUCCAAGUUGUGUAGAUGUCGCCACAGAUGCUAUCUUAUCUAAACAACAAAACACGCAAAAUUUAUGUUAUUUUAUUUUUACAAAGUAUCUUGUAAAUUUUACAAGAAAGGCAAAUAUUUUUUUAGAGGUGUAGAUUUCAAUACAUAAAUAGUACUUUUAUUAGCUGUUUGAAAACUAUAAAAACAUAGUUUCUUAUUUAAGAUGCAGCAGCUCGUAAAAGUUGAAAAAAACGCAUACUUUAAUGUGGAAUUGUAGCAGACCUGUUAACUUUGUUUUUAAUGAUAUAUUCUAAUGUUUACCUGGUUUAUUAUUUAAUUAUUCAAAAAGAAUUGUUGGAAAACAUUUUUUUUGGUUUUUGAAAUGAGUUAGAACCACCAAUUUAUGGGUGCAGCUUAUAAAAUAUCAAUUCAUGACUGUUAUGAGUCAGUCAGAAUCUUUAACAUAAGUAGGUAUUCACCAUGGUUUUCACUAUCUCCUAAAACGGCAUUGACACCUUUAAAUAUAAUCAAAGGUUGAUUUAUUAAAAUUGUAUUUAAUUUACUUUUAUUAGGUUGCUCCGCUCGAGUAUUCUAUACAUUGGAUAAUUUGAAGAGCAUAUUAUAAGAAUUACUGAAAACAACGAAAUUAUUUUUUUAUUGAUUAGUUCUCAACGUUAUUAUUUUUUAAAGUUAGUAUUUCGUUUCACACAAAUGUUGAUGUGGAUUGAUAUUUUUUUUCUUGGAGUAAUUUCAAAGUGUACGUAGGUCGUACGUAUAACCAAACACCAUGUGGUCAAAAUCAAUAUUGCCGUAUUAGAAUAAAAUUAGUAAAAAUAGAAUACACAGAAAUGUUGCGUUUUUCGGUAUUUUUAUGGCUUUUGUAGCGACAUCUAAGCGGUAGUAGCUGAACUAAACAUAGCUGAACUUUGACUGUUUAUCAUUUUAAUUUGUGCUAUUUUUAUAGUGCAACUUUAUAGGGAUUUUCGAUUUGGCAAUAUAACGUUUUGUUCUGUACUUUUUUUAUAGAUGAUCUAUUUUGUUCGAUCUCGUUUUUACUUAUUCACUAUUUUAGUGAUGUAGGUUUUUAAAGGCAUACUGUUUUAGACCAUUGCUGUUUCGACGUGUGCGGUUUUGACUUGCAAUUUUAUAAUGUGUAGGCUUUUACGUUGGGACACAUAUACAGGGUGAUUUUUUGAAAACGAGCCACCUUGAAUAUCUACGAAAAUACACAAAAAAAAUUAAAAAAUCUCGAGACAGGUCAAAUUUUUAUUUAUUGGGGGCACCUUUUGGUGUACUUUUAAAAGUUGUAGCACCAACCCUCUUUGUAAUACAAACAACAUCUUCAAAAUUUUAAAUGGCAUGACCCCACUUAUGAUACUUCAAAUGAAAGGUAUUUUGACCAGAGAUCUCGGGUCUCGGGUUUUUUAAUUUUUGCAUAUUUUCGGAAAUAUUUAGAGUGGCUCGUUUU